GCUGGGUUUGGUGGCACCCUCUUGUAAUCCCAGCUACUCCAGAGGCUGAAGCAGGAGGUUAGCUUAAACACCAGGAGUUCUGGCGUGUAGUGCAGUAUGCCUAUCUGCUGUCCACAGUAACUUCAUCAUCAAUAUGACAACCUCUGGGAGUAGAAUGGAGGGCUGCCUAAGGUGGGGUGAACUGUCCCGGAAAGAGCAGGUUAAAACUCAUGCACUGAUCAAUAGUGGGAUUACGCCUAUGAAUAGACACUGCUCUCCAGCCUAGGCAGCAUAGCAGGACCCCAGUCUCA
rnacentral:SRP_RNA from 1 species